UACAGAGGUCUCAAGCGUUGUUCGGAUUCAUUGGGCGUAAAGGGCGCGUAGGCGGCGGGGUAAGUCGGGUGUGAAAUCUCAGAGCUCAACUCUGAAACUGCACUCGAUACUGCUCUGCUUGAGGACUGGAGAGGAGACUGGAAUUCACGGUGUAGCAGUGAAAAUGCGUAGAUAUCGUGAGGAAGACCAGUGGCGAAGGCGGGUCUCUGGACAGUUCCUGACGCUGAGGGCGCGAA
rnacentral:rRNA from 1 species